GCAGGAAAACAAAAGCUAAACUUGUGUCACAGAAAUCAAAAGCACAACAGAUGUUGGAAAUUGUUAUGAAUGCCACGUGUUUCUUCAAAUAGAUGCAGUUUUGUGAUUAUGCACAUGCUUGAACCUUACAGAACAGAGGAUCCAUUGAGA